UAAAUAUAUAUGAACCGCAUGAUAAAUAAGAAAAAAUGUAGGGACUCUAUAAAAACAAUUACAUUUAGGGAUCUUAGGGCCCUCACAUCUAGAAUACACAGCAGUCUCGCUUCUCUCCCUCACACAGCCUCCUGCAACAGGGCCUAGGGUUUACUGUUUGAUAAUAAAAUACUGGAAGGGAUGGUGAAUUUGCAUUAUUCAUGACACUGGUCCAUGAUUCAGAUUCACCAUGCCCAUUGCAUUGGGAAAGGUAUGGCUCGAUGCUGCUUUCUUUCCUUUUUUUUUUUCCUCAAAUUCGUUUGAUAUCCCUUUGAAUAAUGCAAUUUAGUGAUAAAUUUUAUGAUUCUUUUUCUUCAAAUUUUCUUGAAAUAAACAAUCCUACUUUUGAACCCAGAUACCCUAAAUGUUCAACUAUCAAAGAUGGUAGAGAGAAAAGAAACCCUAAUUUAGGUAUGCAUGAGGUCUAGCAAAGAAGAAACUUACCGUACCAUGCGAUGUUUUGUAGAGUAGGACUACAUUCUCUGAAACAGGUGUUCUUCAUUUUCAUAUAAAAUCUUGGAAAUUGGUGAGGAAUGGAAAAAGAAAAAUUAGAUGAUAAUUCAAUUCUCUUAUUUCGUUGCAAUUGAAAGUGCGUUGGAAACUUAAAUCUAAUAAUAACAUUUGAAAUUUUGUGUUUUUUGAAAUUUGUUUUUAUAGUUUCAAAAUGCCCUUUCACAAAUUUUCGUAUCCAGUUCUCCGAAACUGAAGGGGAAAGGGAAAGAGAAAGGGAAAGGGAGAAAAAAAAAUGGUUUUAAGGAAUAAAAUUUCUAAGAAAUUUAACUGUCUUAUUUAAUUAAGAAAAAAAUAAAAGAAAGUGAAGUAUAGUUAACAUUCUGCAAAUUUCUCUACGGUUCAAAAUUUGUAGGCUUUGUGUUUUCUUAAGAAAUGGAUCAUAUUAGAAAAUAAUCUUGAGUUUAUAUUUUUGUUCCCUUUCCCUUUUCUCUUCAUUGUCUGUAAAGUUUGAGAUUCUAAAGAGGCUAAAACUCUCACAAAAGAUAAAUUCAGAUUCAUGAUUCUCUAAUACUGAAAUAUAACUUUCUGGGUCACCAAGGAGCUCCAUGGUGGCCAUGAAACUAGCAUGCUGCUCUGCUGACUGGCAUCUUCUGUUGUUCUUCCAGGUUGCCUACUGUUCCUCCUUUCUGCUUUGGCCAUUCAUUCAGAGCCUAUAAGUGGCACCAUUGCCCAUGGGUCUGCAUGGGAGUUGCAACCCAGUUUGUGUCCUUAGUUUCUGGGAAGAAGAAGGGAUCGAUUUGGUCCUUCUUCAACCUCCAUGUCUUGCUGUUGGUGAGGUUGGCAGAAAAGUGGGGUCAUUGGCCUUGAAUAAUGUAAUGAUUGUUCCUUUGCUUAAUUGGCAGGGGUGAAAUGGUUUUUGUGUUGCAAUGUUCUAGUCCGUAACCCCCACAAACAUUAGAGGAAAAAAAGGAAAAAAUUGUUUAGUGUUUACCUUUGAAUUUAUGUGGCUGAUUUCUGUCUCUUUUUGUGAUCAGAGUUCAUCUUGUUCUUCCCUCUGCCGUUUUUCUCCAGUAUUACUGCACUUUGUUCCUCCUAGUCAAAAUUUCUCUUUAAUGGCAGGAACUCCUUCAGCACUGGCCUCUUAGAUUCUUCAGAUUCCAUAUUUCACUACUCUUCUCAUCUUCCUUUUUGAAAACCUCAACAGUUGGAACCAAGAAAACAAGAAAAUAAAGUAAAUAAACAAUUACCGAUUGAUCAGAAUCAUUAAAAGUAAAAACUUCAAAGAACCCCCUAGAAGAUAGCCUACCAUACUUGAGAAUCAAUGUGCAAUAAGGAUUUGUUUUUGUAGUCAUUCAUCUUGACCAUCUCUUGCUCUAACUUCUCAAGAGUCAAGAUCAUCAUCCAGUGCCUCCAAUCUCUCGGAAACGCCCUUAGUUUUAGAAAGGUAAUCCAAAGAUCGGCGUUGUUGUUGGGGAUGUAAGUCUAUUUUUGGCACCCAAACUCAAUUCCAGAGAGCUUGAAGAUUAUUGGAUCUCUGUGUGGUGAAAUCUGAGUACAAGAGGACACAGGAGGGGUGGUUUUGAAGUUAUGAAAAAAGAGAGAAAAAGGUGAGAAUUGGGAAAAGGGCAUUGAAAAAUCCCUAGAGAAGGCUUUGGUGACAUCAGAGAUUCUCCGUGUGAAGUUCUUUCAGGUUUUGAUAGCCACAUAUCCUUGCUUAGUUGUCACAUAUCUGCUGUUCUCUAGGAACUUGAAAAUGUGGGGUGAACUUCUAUGGAAUGAUGUCCCAGAAAUUCAAGAAGGGUUGGAUAUGUAUUCAGUCAAACAAUUUGGAUCAAAUUGAGCACCGAAUCAAACCUGAAACAGAUCAAAGAAAAUCGUUCAUGUGAUGUUGGGUUGCUGAGAAGAUGGGAAAGCCCAAGAAUCUGAAAUUUUGCUCAGUUCCAAUUCUUUGAGGUUAUGAAACAAGAAGGCAAGAGGAUGAAACAAAGUAUGAAAUCUGAAGAAUCUAAGGAUCCCGAACUGAAGGAAUUCUUGCCAUUAAACAGAAGCUUUGAUGAGGAAGAACAAAAGACAGUAAUCCUGGAGAAAGGAUGGCAGGGAAGGGAAGAAUUAGGUGAAAUAUGGCCAUGGAAAGAAGCACAAAUCAGCCAUUGAAAUUCCAAAGGCAAACCCUCAACUAUUAUUUUCCGUUUUCUCGUGUUUUGAAGGUUAAUAGAAUUUUGCAGUUAAAAAAUCCUUUUAUGCCUCUAAUUUUAGAGCCUGGUUUGUGGUUGGGUUCCUUGUCACUCACACCAUGCAACUUACCAAAGAGAUCAAAUAACAGAUCACCAAUUUGGAAAUA